CCGCGUAUCUAGCCUUAAAUAGAUCACCCGUAGUUGGCUCUAGAUACUUAAUAAUGGUGGGAGAAUCAAAUCCAACAUAUAUUCCCAUCCUCCUUUGAGGUCCCAUCUUUGUUCUAUGUGGUGGAGCAAUCGGUACAUAUACGGCACACCCGAAAGUCUUUAGAUGGGAUAUGUCUGGCUCAUGACCCAUGAGUAAUUGGGAUGGUGAAUAUCUAUGUUCACUAGAUGGCCUUAUGCGUAUAAGUUCUGAUGCAUGUAAAACAGCGUGUCCCCAAGCGGCUACUGGAAGCUUCGACCUCAUGAGUAAUGGUCGAGCUAUCAAUUGAAUUCGUUUAAUGAAGGAUUCCGCUAAUCCAUUCUGUGUAUGUACAUGUGCCACGGGAUGUUCCACACUUACCCCCAUGGACAUACAGUAGUCAUUAAACGCUUGGGACGUGAAUUCACCGGCAUUGUCUAGACGUAUAGUCUUAAGCGGAAAAUCUGGAAAAUGGGCUCGCAGUCUUAUUAUCUGGGCCAAUAACCUAGCAAACGCUUGGUUUCUAGUAGAUAGGAGACAAACAUGCGACCAUCUUGUCGAUGCGUCAAUGAGGACCAUAAAGUAUCUAAACGUCCCACAUGGUGGGUGUAUUGGUCCACAUAUAUCUCCUUGUAUCCUUUCCAGAAAAUUUAAGGUCUCUUUAUUUACCUUAGCCGGUGAUGGCCUUAUAAUGAGUUUCCCUUGUGAACAUGCUUCACACGUGAGAUUCUUAGGGAUAACUCUUUUCUCUCUUAGGGUGUGCCCCUUUGAAUUAGUCAUUAAUUUACGCAUCAUAUUCUGACCCGGAUGGCCAAGCCGGUCAUGCCAUAAAGUGAAUUUCUCGAUGAACUCUUUGUUCAUUGCCAUAUUAGCUUCGAUCAUAUCGAUUUUAGCAUAGUAGAGACCAGUGGAUAAUGCGGGUAUAGUCUCUAGGACUUUCUUAUGUCCUUUGGUGAUCUCAAUUAUAUUUAGGAAUUCUUUGUUCCCUUCACCCUUUGUUUAAAUAUGGAAACCAUCCAAUCUUAUAUCUUUAAAACUCAAUAAGCUCCUUUUGAGCUGGGUGAAUACAAGGCAUCGCUUAGUUCAAGAUGCGUGCCCUUUGAUAAAAGUAUAUGGGCUUGACCGUGGCCCUCAAUAAGACUAGCUAUACCCGCUAUGGUGCUAAUAUUGGCAUUUUUAUUAUGAGAUUUAGGAAAAUAUCUCUUGUCUUUUGUGUGGCUCCAUUAUCCACAAAUAUGUUCUUGUCCUCGGCCAUUUCUUAUAUGGACAAGAAUCAUGUUCUGAAUAUAAAAUAAUAUAAAAUAAAUUCAAGCAAAUAACAAUCAAUGAACACAUAAAAUGCAAAGAAUAACAUAGAGGUUUUGAUGUCGAAGUAAGAUUUAUUAACUUGAUUCUUUUAUGCAAUCAGAAGUUUCAUACUCUAUUAGAUCAUCUUGAUCAUGUUCACCAUCUUUAUAUACCAAAUGGGUUUUAGGAUUCUUCCCUUUUACACUCUCUUGAUAGAGGUCACAACGAUGUUUGGAAGUCCUACAUAUCUUAGCCCAAUGGUUUCCCAUUCCAUAUCUAUGGCAUACUCAUUUGGUCGAGUGUUGUGGUUUGGAAAUACCACAUCGUCCUCGCCCUCGACCACGGCCGGAAUUGGGUCUACAUCCACGGUUAUAGUGGUUCCCACGGCCGGAUGAGUUAUAGUGGCCACAACCACGUCCUUUCAAUACCACAUCUAUGACAUACUCAUUUGGUCGAGUGUUGUGGUUUGGAAAUACCACAUCGUCCUCGCCCUCGACCACGGCCGGAAUUGGGUCUACAUCCACGGUUAUAGUGGUUCCCACGGCCGGAUGAGUUACAGUGGCCACAACCACGUCCUUUCCAUCCACCACGGUCACGGCCGUGUGGUCUAUCACUUUAGACGUGGUUAGAUUCUUUGGAUUCUUUCUUAUCCUCUGCGGCCUUAUUGGCAUUAGGUAAUGGGGUUAAUCUAUGAGGUCGUAAUCUAUGAGACUCUCAAUAAGACGGUGGCUAAUAUUGCCUUGUAUCUAUCUUUCUCUCUUGGCGUUAUUGCCUUAUUAGAUACAUUUACCAAGUCCUUUUGACUUUAGGAUAAUCUUAGUAUCCAUUGCCCAUUUUAAAUAAUUAUCUCCUAAGAGAUUUAGGGCAGUAAAGUACAAGUUGUAAUUCAACAUCUACAAGGAAAAGUUUUGAGUCAAAAUCAUGUAAUCGUUAGUGUCAUGCGGUAUUUGAGACCGAACCAUGAAUCGAUUUACUUAGGGAUUUGACUUUCCUCUUUUGCUUAGGAUUAAAUUUCCUCUUUUGCUUAGGAUUAGAUUUCCUCUUUUAAUUAGGAUUAACUUUCCCUUUUCCUUUUAGGAUUUACUUUCCUCUUUACUUUAGGAUUAAUUUUCCUAUUUCACUUAUGAUUUUAGGGUUUUCAGAUUUCCUAUUUUGAUUAGGGUUUUAGGGUUUAUGCAACAUGAGGGAUUUUAUCUC
rnacentral:rRNA from 1 species